CCCCUCUCUCGGGAUCUGUUAUUCUUUUCUUCCUGUCUUCUUUAGUUUUCUUUAAAAUCAUAAGACAAAGUAGGGACUCUUUGCCUUAUGGAGGAUUCCUCCGCUUGACCAGCUCUGACCAGCGGAGGAGCAAAGUGUGCUUCAUUUCCACUGGUCAGAGCAAUUUUCCCAUGAUCCCUAGCUUUCCUCUGUGUUCCCACAAUGCUUCCUGUCACUUUACACAAAACUGCC